rnacentral:rRNA from 1 species
AUUGAACGCUGGCGGCAGGCCUAACACAUGCAAGUCGAGCGGAUGAAGGGAGCUUGCUCCUGGAUUCAGCGGCGGACGGGUGAGUAAUGCCUAGGAAUCUGCCUGGUAGUGGGGGAUAACGUCCGGAAACGGGCGCUAAUACCGCAUACGUCCUGAGGGAAAAAGUGGGGGAUCUUCGGACCUCACGCUAUCAGAUGAGCCUAGGUCGGAUUAGCUAGUUGGUGGGGUAAAGGCCUACCAAGGCGACGAUCCGUAACUGGUCUGAGAGGAUGAUCAGUCACACUGGAACUGAGACACGGUCCAGACUCCUACGGGAGGCAGCAGUAGGGAAUAUUGGACAAUGGGCGAAAGCCUGAUCCAGCCAUGCCGCGUGUGUGAAGAAGGUCUUCGGAUUGUAAAGCACUUUAAGUUGGGAGGAAGGGCAGUAAGUUAAUACCUUGCUGUUUUGACGUUACCAACAGAAUAAGCACCGGCUAACUUCGUG